ACGACCUUACUUGAACAGGAUCUGUUUUAUAGGCUCGUACCGCUGCAUCCUUUACCAGUAAGGAGGCAAGCACUUCAGUCUGGUUGAUGCAUUCUGACCACUGGGCCAGAGCGUGAUUAACGGCCACGAUACAUGAUGGAUGGAUCCAACGGCAGUAGAGGAUCGUUCCUUCCUGUAAGCAAGUCUGACAGACA
rnacentral:snoRNA from 1 species